UAAUAGCACUCUGGAGAGUUCUGACUUAUCGAAUGAAUAAGAUUCAGACGCCGAAGGUGAUUAACUCUCAGGCACAAGGACAGAGGGGGCAUA
rnacentral:ncRNA from 2 species